CUCAAAUGAUUUUUUAAAUUGCUGUGGUAUUUUGACUAUACAAAGGUAUUGUAAUAAGACUUUAAAUGAGUGCUAAAAGAAUGGAAUUACAAAAAAAGGCUUUUUUAAUUUUAAAAAUUAAAAUUAUUUUUUUUUGUGAAGAAACAAAAAUUUAAAUUAAAGACAAGAAGACCCUAAGAAUUUUUUUUUUUAUUAAAAUAAUAUUUUAUUUUAAAAAUUUAAUUGGGGCGAUUAAUUAAUAUUAAAAACUUUAUUAACAAAAAAAAUGAUCCAUUAUUAAUGAUUAUUUGAUUAAAAUACUCUAGGGAUAACAGCGUAAUAAUUUUUGAUAGUUCUUAUAGAAAAAAUAGUUUGCGACCUCGAUGUUGGAUUAGGAUUCUUUUUUAAUGAAGAAGUAAAAAAAGAAG
rnacentral:rRNA from 1 species